rnacentral:piRNA from 1 species
UGAUGCUUUGUGCUUCCCAGGUUGCUUGA